AGUGAACGCUGGCGAUAGGCCUAACACAUGCAAGUCGAACGGCAGCACAGGAGAGCUUGCUCUCUGGGUGGCGAGUGGCGGACGGGUGAGGAAUACAUCGGAAUCUACUCUGUCGUGGGGGAUAACGUAGGGAAACUUACGCUAAUACCGCAUACGACCUACGGGUGAAAGCAGGGGAUCUUCGGACCUUGCGCGAUUGAAUGAGCCGAUGUCGGAUUAGCUAGUUGGCGGGGUAAAGGCCCACCAAGGCGACGAUCCGUAGCUGGUCUGAGGGGAUGAUCAGCCACACUGGAGCUGAGACACGGUCCAGACUCCUACGGGAGGCAGCAGUGGGGAAUAUUGGACAAUGGGCGCAAGCCUGAUCCAGCCAUACCGCGUGGGUGAAGAAGGCCUUCGGGUUGUAAAGCCCUUUUGUUGGGAAAGAAAUCCAGCUGGCUAAUACCCGGUUGGGAUGACGGUACCCAAAGAAUAAGCACCGGCUAACUUCGUGCCAGCCGCCGCCGUAA
rnacentral:rRNA from 1 species